UGCGUAGGCGGUUUGGUAAGUCUGAUGUGAAAUCUAUGGGCUCAACUCAUAGUCUGCAUCGGAAACUGCCGGGCUUGAGUGUGGGAGAGGUGAGUGGAAUUUCCGGUGUAGCGGUGAAAUGCGUAGAUAUCGGAAGGAACACCUGUGGCGAAAGCGGCUCACUGGACCACAACUGACGCUGAUGCACGAAAGCUAGGGGAGCAAACAGGAUUAGAUACCCUGGUAGUCCUAGCCCUAAACGAUGACUGCUUGGUGUGACGGGUACCCAAUCCCGCCGUGCCGUAGCUAACGCGUUAAGCAGUCCGCCUGGGGAGUACGGUCGCAAGGCUGA
rnacentral:rRNA from 1 species